GAGGAACAUACACUUGCGUGACAUCUAUGGUGCCAUGACUCAGAUAUGAGCUGGCUGAAACAACCUCUGUGUGGAAGAGGCCAAGCACAGCAGGAGCCCAGCUCAGCGAAGCUCCCGCACUAGAAGCAGAAGGCAAAGAAACCCAGUGCAGGGGAAGGCCCAUAGUGCUGGAAGCCGGGACAGCGAAAAACGAACUCAGCAGAAAGCUCACGCGGCCCAGUUUCAGAUUCCAGAAGACCUCCGGUUAAGAUGGGAAAUAACCAAUCCACUUCCCAGCAGACGCCCUUGAAAUGUAUCCUUGAUAACUGGAAGCUGUUCAUCCCUCUAGCUCUAAGGAGAAGUCAUUUGAAAUUCUUUUGUGCCACCGCAUGGCCACAGUAUCUACUGAGGGACGAGGAACACUGGCCUGAGGAUGGAACUUUAAAUUACAAUACCAUCCUGCAAUUAGAAUUAUUCUGCAAAAGACAAGGGAAAUGGACAAAGAUCCCCUAUGUCCAAAUUUUCUUCUGACUAAGAGAUAUGAAGGAACUCUGUCUUAAGUAUGGGAUUGUAGUACGCCCUAAAAGUGAGCCCACUAGGCAAAUAGUGUUAGGCACAGGCAACCAAGAAAAGGAACCCCCUCGUGAAGGCUCACCUGCCACAGGUCCCGAGUUGCCUGAUGCUCCUUCCUCAUACCCAAACGUGCCCCCAUAUCCGGGAGCACCUCCUCCACAAAAGCCAGCUGGAGUAUGUCGCUUAGUUGAAACUGGAGGAGAAUUUGGACCAACCCGGGUCCAUAAGCCCUUCUCCCUCUUAGAACUAAGGCAGAUCAAACAAGACCUGGGAACCUAUACAGAUGAACUGGCCAAAUAUAUAGAUACAUUCCAACAUAUUACCUUGGCCUUUGACUUGACAUGGAAAGACAUCAUGGUCAUAUUUAGUCAAACUUUAUCUGAUCCUGAACAUACCAGGGUCUUAAAGGAAGCCCGGAGGUAUGCAACAGGGCUCCACAUGUCCAGUGAUAGAUACCCAGUAGAGGAAACUGCAGUCCCCUCCUCCGAUCCUAAUUAGAAUUAUAAUGACCCUGAGCACAUCUGGGAAAGAGAUCAUUUUCUAAUCUGUGUGAAGGCAGGACUGAAAGCAGCCCAACAAAAA